AUUGAACGCUGGCGGCAGGCCUAACACAUGCAAGUCGAGCGGAGCGGCGGACGGGUGAGUAAUGCCUAGGAAUCUGCCUGGUAGUGGGGGAUGACGUCCGGAAACGGGCGCUAAUAACGCCUACGAUCAGACGGGUGUAGGUGGGAUUAGCUAGCUGGUGGGGUAAAGGCCUACCAAGGCGACGAUCCGUAACUGGUCUGAGAGGAUGAUCAGUCACACUGGAACUGAGACACGGUCCAGACUCCUACGGGAGGCAGCAGUGGGGAAUAUUGGACAAUGGGCGAAAGCCUGAUGCAGCCAUGCCGCGUGUGUGAAGAAGGCCUUCGGAUUGUAAAGUACUUUCAGUUGGGAGGCGUUACCGACAGAAGAAGCACCGGCUAACUUCGUGCCAGCAGCCGCGGUAAUUC
rnacentral:rRNA from 1 species